rnacentral:rRNA from 1 species
UACGUAGGGUGCAAGCGUUAAUCGGAAUUACUGGGCGUAAAGCGUGCGCAGGCGGUUUUGUAAGUCAGAUGUGAAAUCCCCGGGCUUAACCUGGGAACUGCGUUUGAAACUACAAGGCUAGAGUGUGGCAGAGGGGGGUAGAAUUCCACGUGUAGCAGUGAAAUGCGUAGAGAUGUGGAGGAACACCGAUGGCGAAGGCAGCCCCCUGGGUCAAGACUGACGCUCAUGCACGAAAGCGUGGGGAGCAAACAGG